rnacentral:rRNA from 1 species
CGGACCUCAGAUCGGACAAGACCACCCGCUGAGUUUAAGCAUAUCACUAAGCGGAGGAAAAGAAACUAACGAGGAUUUCCUUAGUAACGGCGAGCGAACCGGAAGUAGCCCAGCUUGGAAAAUCUAA